CUCCUCCCACCCCGCCUGCUCGGCGGCGGAGGCGGCGGCAGCGGCAGCGGUUGUUCCUGCCUCUCCGCCACCUCCACCGCCGCCUGUCCUUCGGCCGGCG
rnacentral:miRNA from 1 species